CCCCUGUCUUUCUAAACCUUUGCCCCCUAUAUUGGGUCUGCCGGUUCGCCGGCUAUGGAAAUAAACGGUCGUCGCAAUAAACCAUUCGGACCCGGGGGCGGUACCCGGCGCCUCCACCAAAGCCCACCAGCGAGCACUUCCCAGAGCGGGCUUUGGCGGGGGCGAAAUAGGAUCGACGAGGGCGUAAAGGGCGUACUUUUUCCCGGUAUUGUUCCGCCGUUAUCGGGCUACUGCAAUAGUUGCCAACGACAACUUUGCUCCGGUUGCUCAGGCUGCGUAACGCAGUUUGAAAGACCAUCUUAAAGUCCUAACGGGUUAAGCUCCGUUAGGCGGGGUUCGGAGGCACCUGGCAACAGAAGCCUCCACU
rnacentral:tmRNA from 1 species